AUGUGGCGCCAUGGGUCAGUGUGUCUGGCUGUUAACCAGAAGGUUGGUGGUUUGAGCCCACCCAGGGAUG
rnacentral:tRNA from 1 species